AGCGAACGUUAGCGGCGCGCCUAACACAUGCAAGUCGCACGAGAAAGGGCUUCGGCCCCGGUAAAGUAGCGCACGGGUGAGUAACACGUGGGCAACCUGCCCAACCCUGGGGGAUAACCUGCCGAAAGGCGGGCUAAUACCGCGUACGAGGGCUCGACUUCGGUCGGGUUCUGAAAGCAGGCCUCUGUAUACAAGCUUGUGGGGUUGGAUGGGCCCGCGCUCCAUCAGCUAGUUGGUGAGGUAACGGCUCACCAAGGCUACGACGGAUAGCGGGUCUGAGAGGAUGAUCAGCCACACUGGAACUGAGACACGGUCCAGACUCCUACGGGAGGCAGCAGUGGGGAAUCUUGCGCAAUGGACGAAAGUCUGACGCAGCGACGCCGCGUGGGUGACGAAGGCCUUCGGGUUGUAAAGCCCUGUGGGGUGAGACGAACAGCUGGGGUUCAAAUAGGGCCUUGGUCUGACGGUAUCACCUUAGCAAGCACCGGCUAACUCUGUGCCAGCCGCCGCAGUAAAAC
rnacentral:rRNA from 1 species